CAAUUGAGUCUGAGAUCUGAGGAUGUCCAAAAAUGAACACCGUACAUCACAAUAGGGUUGCUAUAAGAUUGUGUGUAACUGAAACUAAGUUGAUACAAAAAUAACACCUGCAAGAUAUAAUUAGAUAAGAUAGCUGUGACAUGGACAGAAUUUUCCUCCUUUUCUGUAGACUGAGAGGAUAUCAGUAUCUGCAGGUAACAUGCCAACUAACAACAUGCCUCUCUGGAAUAGAUCACUUUAUUGUUGUUGUUUAGAAUGGAAGCUCAUUAAAGAACCGGCUCAAGCUGCCAACGUUUUCAAAGAGAAUAUGCUAAGGGAACAUGCAACUGGGAAAACUCAGAAUGAAGAUGGACAUAUGGGUCUCUGAAUAGGACAGGGAACGGGAACUUCUCUCCUUCUAUAAACAGCAGCAAGAAUGGGCAUCUCCACUUAAUUGUACUCUUGCUGUAUUUUAUUUCAGGAGAUGUUGCUUUCGGAGAGGGAGUGAAGCGGUACUUUCUGUCAACAACGAUAUCCAAACUCCAGUUUGGAUUCAUUCUAGAUCUUGGAGGAAUGGGCCGAACACUGCUAUUAGAGGGUGAACCUGACCAUCUUGUUCCAGCAGCAUCAGAGACACUUAUUGAAAGCAACCUCUUCCGGGUUGCAGGAAGGAUGUUGGCCCACACCUCUCUGCAUGACGGGCACCAUGUCACAGGAUUAAGUUUUGCUGUAAUUCAUGUACUGUUCAAUGGGGACCAUGAAAUGGCCACUGUUGUUACAGAAGACCCGAUCUGCACAUCAGGAGCAUUAUAAAACUGGUAUGUAACAUAAACUAAACUUUGCCUUGCAAAAAUGAUUGUUUGGGCAAAUAUAACUGGUUUUGAUUCUAGCUUGAAAAUGGAAGAACUUACUCCGGAACAGAAGGACACUGUUUCAGAUUUCAGAUCUUUCCAUGUCUUGGGAUCUUCCGGCAGUCACCAAAACAAAUCGGAGUUGGCUACAUAACAAACUUCUACUCCAUGCAGUGAGUUCCUGCUGGUCAAGUGACAGAAAUCAUUGCUGUAGUUGUUGAAAUGAUAGAAAGUGUUGUGAAUCCUGUCUUAUGUUAACACUAGCAGAGAUGCAAAUGGUCAAAUUUUAGUGGUGAAAUUCAUGCUAUGAAUACUUAAUGAUAUUUAGUCUUUACCCAUAAAAAUGUAAUCCUUUAUCAAAAAAAUCACACAUUGAGAGAAGCUCAACAACCCACGUCUGGUUUUGUGAUUUUGCUUUUUGAUCAUCUACUUUGAAAAGGUGAUAGUCAAGAGUUCACCGCUGUUAACUUGUUAUAUUUACAGUUUUUUAAGCAUUCGAGCACUAGGCACCAGUUGCUUAAAAUUAGAAAGUGGAAUUUCCCAAUUCAUCCUAUGUCUUAAGCAGAACAGUUAUGUCAAGUGUGCAUGAAGCACUGCAUAUUCUCAAUCACAGACAAACUGGGACUGUAGACAGGACAACUAGCACUGUCUAACUUCUUAUCCAGGUAGAAUGUGAUUUGUUGUAAAAUCAAGGAAAAUCCCAGUAAAAUACACAUAUGAAUGGCGGCAUACAUUAUUUUUAAAUGUGUCUCUUAGGUCACUAUGAGGACCAUGCACCAAAUUAAACAGUUAAGAAAGUGACUGAAAGAUGUGAUUUCAUUUCAUUUUUAUUAGGAUCCCCAUUAGUGGCCCAUUUAAUGGCAGCGAA